UGGGAAGUCCUCGUGUUGCACCU
rnacentral:rRNA from 1 species